AGCAAUUCCUCCUUAAGGUCAGAGAUUGCAGCAUCUGAGGGCCUCUUCAAAAGAAGACAUAGUUGAUGAAGGCGUUCUGGAGCAGGACCAGAAAGACCACGACCAAGCAGCCUUGAGAUCUUAGGCAUCGUCUCCCUCAGAUCCACUAACCACUGGAACACAUCUCCAAAGUUCUGCCGGGCCAGCUCAGCUUCCCCUCAGAAGAAGUUCCACCAGAUGAAGGAGCCUUUUGAGAGGCAGCUGGCAUCGUGAUUGGAC
ensembl:lncRNA